UCCUUCGGGNGNNCAUUAAUGGCGAACGGGUGAGUAACACGUGGGCAAUCUGCCCUUCACUCUGGGACAAGCCCUGGAAACGGGGUCUAAUACCGGAUACGACCUCCGACCGCAUGGUCUGGUGGUGGAAAGCUCCGGCGGUGAAGGAUGAGCCCGCGGCCUAUCAGCUUGUUGGUGGGGUGAUGGCCUACCAAGGCGACGACGGGUAGCCGGCCUGAGAGGGCGACCGGCCACACUGGGACUGAGACACGGCCCAGACUCCUACGGGAGGCAGCAGUGGGGAAUAUUGCACAAUGGGCGAAAGCCUGAUGCAGCGACGCCGCGUGAGGGAUGACGGCCUUCGGGUUGUAAACCUCUUUCAGCAGGGAAGAAGCGAGAGUGACGGUACCUGCAGAAGAAGCGCCGGCUAACUACGUGCCAGCAGCCGCGGUAAUACGUAGGGCGCAAGCGUUGUCCGGAAUUAUUGGGCGUAAAGAGCUCGUAGGCGGCUUGUCACGUCGGAUGUGAAAGCCCGGGGCUUAACCCCGGGU
rnacentral:rRNA from 1 species